rnacentral:misc_RNA from 1 species
GAUGAAGAACGUAGCGAAAUGCGAUAAGUAAUGUGAAUUGCAGAAUUCAGUGAAUCAUCGAAUCUUUGAACGCACAUUGCGCCCGCCAGUAUUCUGGCGGGCAUGCCUGUCUGAGCGUCAUUUCAACCCUCAUGCCCCUAGGGCGUGGUGUUGGGGAUCGGGCUGUACUCCAGCCCGGCCCCGAAAUCUAGUGGCGGUCUCGCUGCAGCCUCCAUUGCGUAGUAGCUAACACCUCGCAACUGGAACGCGGCGCGGCCAAGCCGUUAAACCCCCAACUUCUGAAUGUUGACCUCGGAUCAGGUAGGAAUACCCGCUGAACUUAAGCAUAUCAAUAAGCGGAGGA